rnacentral:ncRNA from 1 species
AAACCCCGCCUGUUUACCAAAAAUAUCACCUCUAGCAUUUUAAGUAUUAGAGGCACUGCCUGCCCAGUGAGUUAACUUCAACAGCUGGCGGGGGUAUCCUCACCGUGCAAAGGUAGCAUAAUCACUUGUCUCCUAAAUAGAGAUUUGUAUGAAUGGCAAAACGAGGGUUU